rnacentral:rRNA from 1 species
AAACCAACAGGGAUUGCCUUAGUACCGGCGAGUGCAGCGGCAAAAGCUCAAUUUGAAAUCGCUUCGGCGAGUUGUAAGUAAAGUGGUUAGACGCUUUUUAAUAAGUCCCUUGGAACAGGGCGCCAUAGAGGGUGAUAGCCCCGUAUUAAAUUGUCUAGUGUGCUACUUUAGAGCGAGUCGAGUUGUUUGGGAAUGCAGCUCAAAUAGGUGGUAAACUCCAUCUAAAGCUAAAUAUUGCUGGGAGACCGAUAGCGAACAAGUACAGUGAUGGAAAGAUGAAAAGCAGUUUGAAAAGAGAGUGAAAUAGCGUGUGAAAUUGUUGGAGGGGAAGGCGAUGGUAGGAAUAAGAGGCUGCGGUUUGAAAUAAAUGUUUUUCGGGCCAC